rnacentral:rRNA from 1 species
GACGUAGGGCGCGAGCGUUGUCCGGAUUUAUUGGGCGUAAAGAGCUCGUAGGCGGCUUGUCGCGUCGAAUGUGAAAACCUGCAGCUCAACUGCAGGCUUGCAUUCGAUUCGGGCAGGCUCGAGUUCGGUAGGGGAGACUGGAAUUCCUGGUGUAGCGGUGAAAUGCGCAGAUAUCAGGAGGAACACCGGUGGCGAAGGCGGCUCGCUGGGCAGUGGCUGACGCUGAGGCGCGACAGCGUGGGGAGCAAACAGG